rnacentral:misc_RNA from 1 species
UUUCCGUAGGUGAGCCUGCGGAAGGAUCAUUAUUGUAUAACCGAGGUGCGAGGGCUGUCGCUGACCCGAAAGGUCGUGCACGCCCGAGUGCCCUCACACACAUCCAUCUCACCCCUAUGUGCACCACCGCGUGGGUCCCCCUUUGGCUUGUUCGGAGGGGGGCUUACGUUUUCACACAAACUUUGUAUGCAGUGUAGAAUGUAUUUUUUGUUUUUGCGAUCACGCAAUCAAUACAACUUUCAACAACGGAUCUCUUGGUUCUG